rnacentral:lncRNA from 1 species
CUUUUAAAUAAUAAAUUAUAUACUAUGUUGUACUAACACAGAAUUUCAUUUAUAUUUUAUUUUAGACAGUAAUAAUUUAUCAAGCCUCCUCGGUGAUAAACUCUGGAAAUAACAUGACUGCUGAUCCUACUACCAUAACCACAGAUGAAUAAUGUAUUGAUAUUAAAGAAUAUCUUCUAGGGAAGAUAUGACAUUACCUUUUCAUCACUACUUUUCAGAUGCCUAAGUAGUUUUGAGAAAUUUUCUAUUUGUUUUUUUGCAGACUAGCAGCUCCUCUGCUGCCAGUCUGCAGUUUCCACUUCAGCUUAGACCAUUUUCUAUUUUUGAACUAAUCAAAGCAAACUAAUGCUUCUCCAUGAGAAUCAUUAUUAUAGCACUAUCGAAGGUAGUAUAUUACUGCUCUACAGCUGUGCAACUCAUAUAGCCCCGUACACAAACACCUUCUGCAAACUAGAUUACUUCCUGAGAUGCGAGGCCUCAUUUUGAUUCUUCAUAAAAGCAACUUUUUCAUUAACAUCAAACAAAAUAUUAGUUUUCUUUUCUUGACAUAGGUAUCUUUGGUGCUUGUUAUAUAACUGGACUAUAUCACUCCCUCUAGAAUGUAAGCUUAUUGAGCACGGCCCUCCACCUCUCUGUUCCUCUACGUCCAGUUGUUUGGUUAUAAUUACAUGUCUGUUAGUCCACCCAUUGUACAGCACUACGGAAUCUGAUGGCGCUAUAUAAAUAAUAAUAAUAUACAUUGCACUACUACCAUGCUGCAAAGGGUUAAAGGAACACUAUAGUUUUAGGAGUAGAAAACUGUAUUUUUAACACUAUAGUGUCCUUCUGCUGCUGUCCCCUUACCCCACUGGCAAAAAGGGUUUAAAAACAUGAUUACCUGGUCGGGCUGCUCCACUACCCAUGUCAUGCCGAUCAUGCAGUGCCUUAGGUUUUCCCAUAGGAAAUCAAUGCUUUUCAAUGGGUUUUUUCAAGAGGCUGGACGUAAUCAUACAAGGAGUGACAUCCAGCGUUGUUUCAUGGAGUUAAACUGCAGGAAGCGUCACUAAUGACUGUCUGGAAGACAGCCACUAGAGGCAGUCUUAACCAUGCAAUAUAAACAUUGCAUUUUCUCUAAAUAUGCAGGGUUUUUACAUUGCAGGGUUAAGAGGACAGUGACAAUGAAUCCAGGCCACUUCCAUAAGAUGAAGUGGUCUGUGUACCAAUAGUGUCCCUUUAAUACACAGUAAUUAUGGUAGGGCAAACUACAAACAAGAUUAAACAAGUUAACGCUGUCAGGCUCUGCAUUUUAAAGUUUAGUCUUUAAUAACUGUCCCUUCAAUAUGGGGGGAAAAGAGAACUACAUUAGGGUCAUAUCACAAUCACAGAAUUCUCCUCCUCCAUGGCCCUAAACUAGACUACAGAAUGCAACCUAGAGUAUGUAAUACAGAGAGCAGGCACAAUGCAUGGGCGUCCGCAGGAGUUUUUCCAGGGGUGGGGGAUAAUUGUAAUGACAUCCAUGCUUGGUACCUUUUUGACAGUGUAAUGAAAGGGAAGGGGCAUUGCCAUUAUCACAUAAAGCCAGGGUGAAUAGCGUUUUCACAACUAUGGUGUCACUAUAGUGUUCCUUUAAGCAAAUUAAAGGACCAUUCUGGUCACCAUAACAACUUCACCUAAAUGAAAAUGCCAUGAUGCCAGGAAGCCCCUGGGUGCUUGCUUUCCUUUAAGGGAUUAAAUCGCUCACAAAUGGUUUAACCCCAAAGGCUUCCUCCAGCUCCAGGUUGCUCAGUGGUAUUUGGCUUCUGAAACAGGGUGUCAGGAAGUGCAGAUUGACGUCAGGCAUGGGUGCAGCUGGUUGGCUAGAGUGGACAGUUGACGCUCUAAGCCAAUCGCUACUUCCCGGUUCAUAAAAUAUUUUUAAUUUUUUAUGAAUGGGGAGCUACUAAUUGGCUUAGAGUGCCAUCUGACCGCUCUAGACAAUCAGCAACACCCCUACCCAAUGGCACUCUGUGCUUCCUGACACUCAGUAAAUAAAAGUGAACACAUUAAUACUGAUAUUUUUUUACCUUUGGAGAUGAGAAGGUCCAGCGUUUCCCUGCCUGGCCCAGGUACCAAAGCCUUAUGAUGUGGUGUUCAGAAUAAAGUGGAGGGUUCACUUCAUUUGUCCUUCCUACUCCAAUCUCCUUUUCCUCUCCUUCAUUUGACAGUCUUUUUUUUUCUUCUGACACUGUUUUCUAUCCUUGGCCCCUUCUGCUUUUUUACCUUUCUGCUCUUUCUCCUACUUUACCUCUGUGCUCCUUCUGAUUCUUUCUGCUCCUUGCUGCCCCUUUCUGCCCCUUGCAGGCCCUUCCUGCUCCUUGCUGCCCCUUGCAGGCCCUUCCUGCUCAUUCUCCUACUUUACCUUUGUGCUCCUUCUGCCCCUUCCAGCUCAUUUCUGACCCUUUCUGCUCCUUCUACUUUACCUUUGUGCUGCUUUACCUUCCAGCUCCUUGCUGACCCUUCCUGUUCAUUUCUGUUCCUUUGUGCUCCUUCUCCUACUUUACCUUUUGUGCUCCUUGCUGUCCCUUCCACAGCUCCUUGCUGCCCCUUUCUGCUCCUUGAUGUCCCUUCCUGCUCAUUUCUGUUCCUUCUCCUUUUCUUACCUUACCUUCCUGCUCCUUGCUGACUCUUCAUGUAUGCUGUCUCCCCCAUACCUCACUUCUAUAGGCGUGCGCACGGGGUGUGUCGGGUGUGCCCUGGCACACCCUAAUCACUGCGGCACGCCAAUGGAUUGAGACUGGCAGGGGAGACCUCUAGAUCUCCCUGGUCGGCUCAUGCAGAGCCGACGCUAUCCGAGCGGCGGCUCUGGUCUAAGCCUCCAUGGGCCGGUGGGGAGAUCAAAGUUCUACCUCACCGGUCCACAGCAGCAUGGAGGGAGGCAGCAGACAACCCGGGCUAGAGUUCACUCUCCACUAAACCACCAGGGAAGGCAGCAGGACUGGGAUAUUAACUAGUCUGCCCCCACCUCCACCCAAACAUACAGCACACACACAUACAGCACACACAGCCCACACAGCCCACAAACAGCACACACACAUCACCCUCGCACACACAGCACCCACACACAUACAACACCCACACACACAUCCAGCACACUAACAGCAUCCUCACAAACAGACAAAACCCACACACAACACCCGCACAGCACCCACACACAAACAGCACACUCUCAUACAAACAGCACCCUGACAAACACACAACACCCACACACACAUCCAGCACACUAACAGCAUCCUCACAAACACACAAAACCCACACACAACACCCGAACAAACAUGCACACACAAACACCCUCUCACACACACACACAGCACACUACCAGUUCCCUCACAAACAGCACCCUCACACACAGCACACUAACAGCACCCUCACACACACACACAGCAGUGUGUGUAUACAUAUAUAUAUAUAUAUAUAACAGAUAUAGAGAUUAUAUAUAUAUAAAUAUAUAUAUACAUACAUAUACACACACACACACACAUACAUAUACACAUGGCGUGUGUUUGUGCUUUAGGGUGCACACCCUAAUGCAAUAGGCUGCGCACGCCUAUGCUCACUUCCCUAAUCUAUAGGCUGCCCCCCCAUGCCUCACUCCCCUAAUCUAUAGGCUGCUGUCCCCUCCCAAAAUCUAUAGGCUGCUGCCCCCUCCCC